CAUCAAAAUAAAAAGCUUCGGCCAUCUUGGACCCUGUGGAGGCCUGCUGGGAACAGGACUUCUAUAAGGACAAAUAUGUCUGGAAGGGUGUGGUCCAAGGCCAUUUUUGCUGGCUAUAAGCGGGGUCUCCAGAACCAGAGGGAACACAUGGCUCUUCUUAAAAUUGGUGUUUAUGCUCUAGAUGAAACAGAAUUCUAUCUAGGCAAGAGAUGUGCUUAUGUGUACAAAGCAAAGAACAACACAGUGACUCCUGGUGGCAAACCAAACAAAACCAGAGUAAUCUGGGGAAAGGUAACUCGUGCUCAUGGAAACGGUGGAAUGGUUCGUGCUAAAUUCCGAAGCAACCUUUCUGCUAAGGCUAUUGGACAAAGAAUUCGUGUAAUGCUGUACCCCUCAAGGAUUUAAACUUACUGAAAAUAAAUAAA